GGAUCAGGUAGGAAUACCCGCUGAACUUAAGCAUAUCAAUAAGCGGAGGAAAAGAAACCAACAGGGAUUGCCCCAGUAACGGCGAGUGAAGCGGCAACAGCUCAAAUUUGAAAUCUGGCCCCUCUCGGGGCCCGAGUUGUAAUUUGCAGAGGAUGCUUUUGGUGCGGCGCCAGCUGAGUUCCCUGGAACGGGACGCCAUAGAGGGUGAGAGCCCCGUCACGCUGGACGCUAAGCCUAUGUAAAGCUCCUUCGACGAGUCGAGUAGUUUGGGAAUGCUGCUCAAAUUGGGAGGUAUAUGUCUUCUAAAGCUAAAUACCGGCCAGAGACCGAUAGCGCACAAGUAGAGUGAUCGAAAGAUGAAAAGCACUUUGAAAAGAGAGUUAAACAGUACGUGAAAUUGUUGAAAGGGAAGCGCUCAUGACCAGACUUGGGCUUGGCGAAUCACCCGGCGUUCUCGCCGGUGCACUUCGCCUCGCCCAGGCCAGCAUCAGUUCGUCGCGGGGGACAAAAGCGCCGGGAACGUGGCUCCCCCGGGAGUGUUAUAGCCCGGCGCACAAUACCCUGCGGUGGACUGAGGUUCGCGCAUCUGCAAGGAUGCUGGCGUAAUGGUCAUCAGCGACCCGUCUUGAAACACGGACCAAGGAGUCGUCCUCGUAUGCGAGUGUUCGGGUGUCAAACCCCUACGCGUAAUGAAAGUGAACGCAGGUGAGAGCUUCGGCGCAUCAUCGACCGAUCCUGAUGUUCUCGGAUGGAUUUGAGUAAGACCAUACGGGGCCGGACCCGAAAGAAGGUGAACUAUGCCUGUAUAGGGUGAAGCCAGAGGAAACUCUGGUGGAGGCUCGCAGCGGUUCUGACGUGCAAAUCGAUCGUCAAAUAUGGGCAUGGGGGCGAAAGACUAAUCGAACCUUCU
rnacentral:rRNA from 1 species